GUCUAUGGCCAUACCACCCUGAACAUGCCCAGUCUCUUCUGAUCUCAGAAGCUAAGCAGGGUCGGGCCUGGUUAGUACUUGGAUGGGAAAAUACUUCAAUAAAAAGCACCCCGUUUUUAGUAA
rnacentral:rRNA from 1 species